ACGGGUGAGUAACACGUAUGCAAUCCACCUGUAACAGGGGGAUAACCCGGAGAAAUCCGGACUAAUACCUCAUAAUAUGGGCGCUCCGCAUGGAGAGCCCAUUAAAGAGAGCAAUUUUGGUUACAGACGAGCAUGCGCUCCAUUAGCCAGUUGGCGGGGUAACGGCCCACCAAAGCGACGAUGGAUAGGGGUUCUGAGAGGAAGGUCCCCCACAUUGGAACUGAGACACGGUCCAA
rnacentral:rRNA from 1 species